AUUGAACGCUGGCGGCAUGCCUUACACAUGCAAGUCGAACGGCAGCACGGGAGCAAUCCUGGUGGCGAGUGGCGAACGGGUGAGUAAUACAGCGGAACGUACCUGAUAGUGGGGGAUAGCCCGGCGAAAGCCGGAUUAAUACCGCAUACGACCUGAGGGUGAAAGCGGGGGAUCGCAAGACCUCGCGCGAUUGGAGCGGCCGAUGGCAGAUUAGGUAGUUGGUGGGGUAAAGGCCUACCAAGCCUACGAUCUGUAGCUGGUUUGAGAGGACGACCAGCCACACUGGGACUGAGACACGGCCCAGACUCCUACGGGAGGCAGCAGUGGGGAAUUUUGGACAAUGGGCGCAAGCCUGAUCCAGCCAUGCCGCGUGCGGGAAGAAGGCCUUCGGGUUGUAAACCGCUUUUGUCAGGGAAGAAAUACUCUGGGCUAAUACCCUGGGGUGAUGACGGUACCUGAAGAAUAAGCACCGGCUAACUACGUGCCAGCCGCCGCGGUAA
rnacentral:rRNA from 1 species